rnacentral:rRNA from 1 species
UACGAAGGGGGCUAGCGUUGCUCGGAAUCACUGGGCGUAAAGCGCACGUAGGCGGAUUCCUAAGUCGGUGGUGAAAUCCUGGAGCUCAACUCCAGAACUGCCUUUGAUACUGGCGAUCUCGAGUCCGGGAGAGGUGAGUGGAACUGCGAGUGUAGAGGUGAAAUUCGUAGAUAUUCGCAAGAACACCAGUGGCGAAGGCGGCUCACUGGCCCGGUACUGACGCUGAGGUGCGAAAGCGUGGGGAGCGAACAGG